rnacentral:rRNA from 1 species
GGCGUCGGAUCGUAGGUGACCUGCGGAAGGAUCAUUA